rnacentral:miRNA from 11 species
UUAGUAGACUGUCAUCAAAUGAAUUAUAUGUAUGUAUAUAUGUGUGUGUGUGUGUGUGUGUGUGUGUAUAUGUAUACACACACACAUACACACACCAUCUGU